rnacentral:rRNA from 1 species
AGAGUUUGAUCCUGGCUCAGGAUGAACGCUGGCGGCGUGUCUAAGGCAUGCAAGUCGAACGAACCCGAUUUUCUUCGGAUUAGCGGGAAGUGGCAAACGGGAGAGUAACACCUUGGUAACCUACCUUCGAGACGGGGAUAGCCCAGAGAAAUUUGGAUUAACACCCGAUGGUCAUGGGGGGACAUAAGUCAUUCCCAUGUAAAUAAUUUAUUGCUCGAAGAGGGGCCUAGGUCCUAUCAGCUAGUUGGUGAGGCAAAAGCUCACCAAGGCUAUGACGGGUAGAGGGCGUGAGAGCGUGACCCUCCUCACUGGGACUGAGACACUGCCCAGACUCCUACGGGAGGCUGCAGUCAAGAAUAUUCCACAAUGGGCGAAAGCCUGAUGGAGCGACGCCGCGUGCAGGAAGACGCCCUUCGGGGUGUAAACUGCUUUUAUAAGGGACGAAUUCGUGACGGUACCUUAUGAAUAAGAGGUUGCUAACUCUGUGCCAGCAGCAGCGGUAAUACAGAGACCUCAAGCGUUAUCCGGAUUUACUGGGCGUAAAGCGUCCGCAGGUGGUUUGACAAGUUAUUGGUCAAAUCCUGAGGCUUAACUUCAGGACUGCUGAUAAAACUGUCAGACUUGAGGCUGGGAGAGGCAAGCGGAACUAUCGGUGUAGUCGUAAUAAGCGCUGAUAUCGAUAGGAACACCAAAGGCGAAGGCAGCUUGCUAGAACAUGCCUGACACUCAUGGACGAAAGCGUGGGUAGCGAAGGGGAUUAGAUACCCCCGUAGUCCACGCCGUAAACGAUGUGCACUAGGUAUUGGGAGUAUCGACCCUCCCAGUGCCGUUGAAAAAAGCUAACGCGUUAAGUGCACCGCCUGGGGAGUACGGUCGCAAGACUAAAACUCAAAGGAAUAGACGGGGACCCGCACAAGCGGUGGAUCAUGCGGUUUAAUUCGAUGAUACGCGAGGAACCUCACCAAGACUUGACAUAUAGCUGCAAGCUCCCAGAAACGGGAGCCUCCUUCGAGGGUGCUAUACAGGUGCUGCAUGGUUGCCGUCAGCUCGUGCCGUGAGGUGUACCGUUAAGUCGGGUAACGAGCGCAACCCUCGCCGUGUGUUAAAUGUACACACGGGACUGCCCGGGCAACCGGGAGGAAGGCGGGGACGACGUCAAAUCAGCAUGGCCCUUACGUCUUGGGCAACACGCAUGAUACAAUGGCCGGUACAAAGGGUAGCCAAACCGCGAGGUGGAGCCAAUCCCAAAAAAUCGGUCUCAGUUCAGAUUGUAGGCUGCAAUUCGCCUACAUGAAGUUGGAAUCGCUAGUAACCGCGAAUCAGAACGUCGCGGUGAAUACGUUCUCGGGUCUUGUACUCACCGCCCGUCACACCACGAAAGUUGGCAGUACCCGAAGGCUCUCGCAAGAGGGACGAAGGUAAGGUCAGUGAUCAGGGUGAAGUCGUAACAAGGUAACC